rnacentral:rRNA from 1 species
AUGAACGCUGGCGGCGUGCCUAAUACAUGCAAGUCGAGCGAACAGACGAGGAGCUUGCUCCUCUGACGUUUGCGGCGGACGGGUGAGUAACACGUGGAUAACCUACCUAUAAGACUGGGGUAACUUCGGGAAACCGGAGCUAAUACCGGAUAAUAUAUUGAACCGCAUGGUUCAAUAGUGAAAGACGGUUUUGCUGUCACUUAUAGAUGGAUCCGCGCCGCAUUAGCUAGUUGGUAAGGUAACGGCUUACCAAGGCAACGAUGCGUAGCCGACCUGAGAGGGUGAUCGGCCACACUGGAACUGAGACACGGUCCAGACUCCUACGGGAGGCAGCAGUAGGGAAUCUUCCGCAAUGGGCGAAAGCCUGACGGAGCAACGCCGCGUGAGUGAUGAAGGUCUUCGGAUCGUAAAACUCUGUUAUUAGGGAAGAACAAAUGUGUAAGUAACUAUGCACGUCUUGACGGUACCUAAUCAGAAAGCCACGGCUAACUACGUG